GUCGGGACGUCGGGCGUCGAGACGGACGUCGUACUAGGGUGAACGGUUUCGUUACGCCACUGCCGUCGAGCCCUCCGUCGAGUUCGCCGACGGUUUUCGAGUGGUUGGUAAAAUUUUGACAAACUUGGACAAAUCGACUAGAUUUGAAGUCGUGCGUCAACUAAAUAAUCCUGCUUUGCGUCAUUGAUACGUCCAUUCCACAUAAUGCAGAGACUGAGAAGUGCGGUCGCCUUUUCAACUUCGCUGUCGGAUUUUCAAAAAAGCUGACGUCAAAAGUUCGGUAGUAGUUGGUUUCAUAGUUUCAUGUACGUAAUAUAAUACGGCGUGUGAAAAUGAUAAUGAAAAUUUCGAACAAUCCUCGUCACUUUUCAUCGUUGAUCAUCCUUUUCCUUACUUUUCAAACCGGUGCUGCCAUCGAUUGUUUCAAAUGCGUUUCGAUCGGGGGUAACAAUAAGGCUUGCGACGAUCCCUUCCACAACAAUGGUACCCUCGGUUUCCUGGAGACGCCAUGUCUUGGAGGUCGCAAGGGACGCGACGGCUUGUUUCCGGCUACAGCCUGCAUCAAAAUUGCUGGAAUUUACGACGAAUCCGGGGUUUCGUUGACGGUGAGGAGCUGUGCCUUGGACAGCGGGACCCUGACGACGGACUCGGAGAUCAUCAGGAUGUCUCACUGUGGCGGAUUCUACUUCGACGAGAAGUACGUUCGAGGCUGUGUUCAAUCCUGCAGCGACGCCGACGCCUGUAACAGGUCUGGAAAAAAUCCACACUCGGCGGUCCUGAUCCUUGCGAUUUUCGCAGUCCUUGGUCGGCUUUGACCUGCAAUUCCUCGCGAUGCUUGAUCGUUGAAUCGAUGAUCGAGCCGCCGGAUACAUCGCGAGAACAACGAAGCUAAUUUGUCACAUCUUCGCCGGAACCUAAAGACCGAGCUCCUGCAGCGAGGCGUCGUUAUUUUGCAUCGUUCCCAAAAUAACUUCAAUCUUUUCGAGCGUGAGUCGUCCCUUUGAUGCUCUCAACGAUGACAGCUUCAACUACGAUGACCUGGUGGCCCUCUGCACUAGUAUCGUUAUCGUCGGCAUCUGGGUGAUCAGCUUCAAAAUGUACAUCGAUUCCUUGAAGCAGAUGAUGUCCGGAUCCUUUUCGUUUCUUCCGCCUUCACCAAUCUGCGGACGAAUACCUUCAAUAUUUUUCCCCCCGUCGCGUUAUCGGCUUCCUUUUCACAGCGACCAUCGUCCUUCUUACAUAGAAAGACGAGACUCGUCCAAAUCCUAUUUUGAUUCAAACAAGUUUUGCGAUUGAUUUGUGCAAAAAAUAUACCUCCUCUAUCGCUGUGUCAUUUUUUCCUUUUCUCAUUGCGUUUCUGCGGAUUUUACACUCGAAUUACCGCUGUUAAUGUUAGCCAUUGUUUGCCAGUCCCUUUGAUUUUUCAAACACCCA
rnacentral:misc_RNA from 1 species